rnacentral:lncRNA from 1 species
GGAGCAGCCAUUUUGAUCACCUUCUUCAGCUGUUCCACCAACACAUUUUCUCCUCUUCUAUUUGGAUUCUUAAAGGUGACAACCUCUGCUUCAUCUAAUACCUUCUUUUCUAGGAGUGGAACAUCAUUCUCCAUUGCUAAAACUAUUUUGAUUUCACCGAUCUGGUUGGUUGUUCUAUUGCUGUAUUGAUCUCUCCUCUUCUUUAUCCCUUUUUCUUUUUAUUGAGCUUAGAGAGUUAGAUGGGAAGUGGGGAGUCGGGAGCGUGAGGAUUUAUGAGAAUGGGAGAAGGUGAAAUGAACCAAAAUUAUUGCGGAGUUGGUGAAGAAGAUAAGGUGUCGGGAAGGAACAUUGAUGACAUGGACAAAAUCUGCAAUUUUAAAUGAGGAAAGCUUUUACACGGCACCUACAGACAAUUCAUUUCGCAUGGUCUAACAGAUUGAUGAUUCGUCGGUGCUUUUUUUUCCAUUAUCGACGCACAACUUUGCUUCGCAAGCAUGCUCGAAUUCAGGGCUGAGCAUCAUGGAGGAGUUGCAGCUAGCUAACGAGGAGCUAAACAUCAAUGCACGUUAAAAUAAAAGAACUUCAUGGGAUGGGAGGCCGUCUAUGUUUAGUAUCUUUUUCUUUUUUCGAGUUAGUCUGCAUACUUGUUGUGUAUCGAGUCGAGGUUUUAUGUUUGUGUGAUCUGAUCUGUGUGUUUCAAAACCGGAAUUUUAUGGGGAAAUCAAUUUUCGUAUUUU